CUAAGAAUAUUCCGCAAUGGGCGAAAGCCUGACGGAGCAAUCUCGCGUGAGUGAUGAAGGCUUUCGGGUUGUAAAACUCUUUUGGCAGGGACGAAUAAUAUUGCGGGAAAUACGCAGUAGAUGACGGUACCUGCUGAAUAAGCACCGGCUAAUUACGUGCCAGCAGCCGCGGUAAUACGUAGGGUGCAAACGUUGUUCGGAAUCAUUGGGCGUAAAGGGUACGUAGGUGGUUUAGCAAGUUAGAGGUGAAAUCCUGGAGCUCAACUCCAGGGCUGCCUUUAAAACUGCUAGACUGGAAUCACUAAUAUAGGUGGCAGGAAUUCCUAGUGUAGGAGGGAAAUCUGUAGAUAUUAGGAAGAACACCAAUGGCGAAGGCAAGCCACUGGGUAGUGAUUGACACUGAGGUACGAAAGCCGGGGGAGCAAAAG
rnacentral:rRNA from 1 species